rnacentral:rRNA from 1 species
CAGUAGCCGCGGGAAUACCGAGGGUGCGAGCGUUAAUCGGAUUUACUGGGCGUAAAGCGUGCGUAGGCGGCUUUUUAAGUCGGAUGUGAAAUCCCUGAGCUUAACUUAGGAAUUGCAUUCGAUACUGGGAAGCUAGAGUAUGGGAGAGGAUGGUAGAAUUCCAGGUGUAGCGGUGAAAUGCGUAGAGAUCUGGAGGAAUACCGAUGGCGAAGGCAGCCAUCUGGCCUAAUACUGACGCUGAGGUACGAAAGCAUGGGGAGCAAACAGGAUUAGAUACCCCUGUAGUCCCUGUCUCUUAUAA